ACUGAUUUAAUAAUUGAUUUUAAUAUUGAUCUUGCCCGGCGCCAUCUAUUAAUCACUUACCUUACUAGCUCAGUUAUAAUGUGAAACCUGCAUGAAAUCUCCUAUCUGUGGAGGUGUGAGAAAAAGAUUUCUGAAAUAUCAACUAAACAAACGACACAAAAAUAAAGCUAUGAAAUGGUGGAUAAAUAACAAAAGACUGUCGAAUAUUGUACAGAAAUUUGGAAAUAUAUUGAAAAAUAAAGGCUUUGUUAUGCAACAUCAAAAAUACAAGGUUAUCUAGUCGAAAGUCUGAAUAAAGAAAUACGAUGCAAUGAAUUUAACUAUAAAAAAAAUAAGAGUAUUUGACAAAAAAUUAAGUCGAAGAUAACCCAAAAUUAUCUUGAAUAUUCAAAAUUUGUUAUACUAAAGCUAGAAAAUGAAAAACAUUGACUUUCGAUCAUGAUCAAUUAAAAAUAUAAACUGUUCAGUACAACCUUUCACGAUGUAAUAUGAAGAUAAACCAAACUUUUCUUAUAAAGUUGAGGGUCAUUUUUGAAAAUUUUUUUUUUUACCAUGAAGAUUAUUUAUACAGAUUGAUGUCUAUUUCAACAUAAUUUCACAAAUCUACACAUGCAGCUAAGUGAUGCAAGACGUAUCACCUUAACGAAGUUCCUUUCGAAGUGACUUUUGGAAACAUGGAACCUUUUGAUGAUUCUUACGAACAAAUAAGGCUAUUGUAUGAUACAAAUAGAAGUAAUUCUCUGGUAAAACUCAAAAUUCAAAUUAUUAUAUGUUCUAGUUACUAAUUUCUAAUUUAUAUGUCAUUGAAAUAUCA
rnacentral:lncRNA from 1 species